AGGGUUGUAGCUCAGCUGUAGAGCAUCAACUUUGCAUGCACAGAGUCCCAGGUUUGAUCCCUGGUAUCUCCA